AGAUCGCUUGAACAUUUUCGGUCAUCGGCGCGGCGCGACUCGCGGUCGUGGAAAACGACAGAAAGAGGUUGCUGAUUCCUUAAGUGCGAAGGAAUAUGCGGCGGCACGAACCGACGUCGCGCCAGCCCGCGGGCAUAGCGAGCGCGCAAAGCCUUGUUUCUCGGGCAUAUCAGGGCUGCAACGCCUAGAUUA
rnacentral:sRNA from 1 species